rnacentral:rRNA from 1 species
UACGGAGGGUGCGAGCGUUGUCCGGAAUCACUGGGCGUAAAGGGCGCGUAGGUGGCGCGGGAAGUCAACGGUGAAAGUUCGGGGCUCAACCCUGAAUCGGCCGUCGAUACUCCCGGGCUCGAGCACUGUAGAGGCAGAUGGAAUUCCGGGUGUAGCGGUGGAAUGCGUAGAGAUCCGGAAGAACACCGGUGGCGAAGGCGGUCUGCUGGGCAGUUGCUGACACUGAGGCGCGACAGCGUGGGGAGCAACGG